AAUUUAGCCAUCUCAAAUCAACGCUACAAUAUGCUCACUGUCUGCUGCUGGCCACUUGGUCGUUACUUUAAAUGCGUAACGUUAAUUAGGCUAUGUGAGUACUGCUCAUGUCU